AUGAGCCGUGCCUUCACGGAACACAGAGGGCUGAUCAGAUUUCCAGUGCUUGACCCGUGGAACAGUGGUGCCCCCCCAGCUGGGAAGGGAUUCAAGGAAAUGGCCUCAGUUCACCAUGAAAUGGCUGGAAGGAGCCUGGAGGCAUGCCCUGCUUUCACGGCACCUAGUCACUGACAGAGCAUCAUUUCCCAGGAGACUGAGGAGGCAACAUCACAAGGAGAGGGGGAUUUCCACUCCUGCAGGAAAAAGUUCCUGAAGCUGUGUUUGUAAUAUUUUGCUUGGAAAAGAGACAAGACCACUUGUUUGAACUUUUGGAUUGGCCACAGGAAUCCCAUAAUUUGCAUUUAUUGGGGGCAUUUUGUGGGUUGUUAUCUUGAGAAGAAACACAGAAAAAUUUGGUCCCAAACCCAAAAUUCCACAAGGGAAUGGAAAUUCUACUGCUCCUUUCUGACAUAAAAGGUCAUCUUGUUGUUUAUCUACAAAGCCAGGGGAAAUUGGCUGUUGAGUAUUUUGCAUUUGGAAACACUGGCCCAAAUUCAAAGAAGUCUGAUGCUUUCUCCCCUUCCUGCCCUGUUUUUAUUUAAAGAUGUUGGACUCAUGAAUCAUUGGGUGAGAGCUUGAAAUACAGCUUCUUCUGUUUCAGAGGAUGAGGGCCUUAGUCUAAAAGGAGAAACCCAAAGUCAAGGAUGCCCUAGAACUCCUAAGAAUGUAGACACUGAGGAUGUAGUGGCCAGAAUGCUCCUGGUCUCUGGGUUACAGGAUACACUGGACUCUCCUGUGCUUAAUGAAAUCACUAAAGACCUUUGGCAAGAUGGGGAGCUCAGCCCCAUCCUGAAGUGUCCAGCAAAGCCUCAGACUAGUUACCCUCCAAGCAGGGUGGGGACAUAGUAGGUGUGGCCAAAUGCAAAGUGAAAGUGUGGGGCUCCUUGUUCAAAAAAGUAAAGGUAUUAAGAUAUAAACUCCUUCCUUUAAAAAUAUUUUAUUAUAAAACAUAAUGGUGUAAUUGUGAUACAUGAGUAACAGCUAUUAUAAAUAGUACAAAAUAUGUUUGUAGUCAUAAUUUUAUAUAGUAUAAAAAAUGAUACUUUAUCAAAGUGAUAUCUUGAUUGACCAUGAGACUUUUCUGGCUGUUUUUUUUGUAAAUUCUUUUAUCAGAUUAUCAAAAUUUAUACUU
rnacentral:lncRNA from 1 species